rnacentral:ncRNA from 2 species
UUGAAAAGAAAUCUCCGAGCCGGGGAACCCUAAACUUAAACGGCAUGGAACCCGGCCGCCAGGGUGUGUUGGGAAACCGGCACGCCUCCCGUUGUGGAAAGGAGAGGCGAUUUUUCGGGG